UCUGGCGGCCAUAGAGAGGGGGAAACACCUGAUCCCAUCCCGAACUCAGCAGUUAAGACCCUCGUCGCCGAUGGUACUCACCACAAGAGGUGGGGAGAGUAGGUAGCCGCCAGUU
rnacentral:rRNA from 1 species